GGAGAAAUGGCUCAGUGGUUAAGAGCACUGGCUGCUCUUCCAGAGGGAUCUGGGUUCAAUUCCCAGCACCC
rnacentral:tRNA from 1 species